AAAUAACAAUGCAGGCCAUUGGGUCAUUGCAAUUGGAAUGAGUACAAUUUAAAACUCUUAACGAGUAACAAUUGGAGGCAAGUCUGGUGCCAGCAGCCGCGGUAAUUCCAGCUCCAAUAGCGUAUAUUAAAGUUGUUGCAGUUAAAAAGCUCGUAGUUGAAUUUCGGAUGAGGACUCUUGGUCUGGCUUCUGGUCAGUACUGAGAGGACCAAAUCUUUUUCUGGGAGUCAGAGUGCACUUCACUGUGUGCUCUGAGGAACCAGGACGAUUACCUUGAGAAAAAUAGAGUGUUCAAAGCAGGCAAUUGCUUGAAUACAUUAGCAUGGAAUAAUAAAAUAGGACUUUGGUUCUAUUUUGUUGGUUUAAGGACCAAUGUCAUGAUGAAUAGGGACAGUUGGGGCAUUAGUAUUCCGAAGCUAGAGGUGAAAUUCUUGGAUUUUCGGAAGACUAACUACUGCGAAAGCAUUUGCCAAGGAUGUUUUCAUUAAUCAAGAACGAAAGUUAGGGAUCGAAGACGAUUAGAUACCGUCGUAGUCUUAACCAUAAACUAUGCGACUAGGAUUGGUGAAUGUCGUAUUUGACUUCAUCAGCACCUUACGAGAAAUCAAAGUCUUUGGUUCUGGGGAGUAUAGUCGCAAGUCCGAAACUUAAAGGAAUUGACGGAAGGCACCACCAGGAGUGGAGCCUGCGGCUUAAUUUGACUCAACACGGGAAAACUCACCAGGUCCAGACAUAAGAAGGAUUGACAGAUUGAGAGCUCUUUCAUGAUUUUAUGGGUGGUGUGCAUGGCCGUUCUUAGUUGGUGGAGUGAUUUGUCUGGUUAAUUCCGAUAACGAACGAGACCUUAACCUGCUAAAUAGUCCUGUCAACUAUAGUUGAUGAGGUCUUCUUAGAGGACUAUCUGUGACUAACAGAUGGAAGUUUGAGGCAAUAACAGGUCUGUGAUGCCUUAGAUGUUCUGGCCGCACGCGCGCUACACUGAUAAAGUCAGCGAGUAUUCACCUUGACCGGAAGGUCUGGUAAUCUUUUGAAACUUUAUCGUGAUGGGGAUUGACCAUUGCAAUUAUUGGUCAUGAACGAGGAAUUCCUAGUAAGCGCAAGUCAUCAGCUUGCGUUGAUUACGUCCCUGCCUUUGUACACACCGCCGUCGAUACUACGAUUGAAUGGCUUAGUGAGGC
rnacentral:rRNA from 1 species